CAAACCAACCCUGCAUCUCAUUCGCUCGUCUCCUCUGAUCUCGUUGUCGCCGAUCAGCCUUCUUCGCCGCCAUCCCGGAGCAAAGAACACCUUCGGAUCCAUGGAUACGUUUCUUCAAACCCUAAGAAUUUCCUUUCUGUUUCUUCUUGGGUGUUUUUUUUUUAAAGAAAUGUUGAUUGAUCUCUAGAUUUUGACUUUGUGUUUUAGGGCAAGACGAUCCUGGUGUUCUAAAGGACCAAAGGGCAAGCGGAUCUUUGUGUUCUAAAGAGCCAAAGGGGUUCGUGGUCAUGGGAUUUCUUGAGUCAUGGGAAUUCAUUGAAUGAAGGGUACGCCGUAUAGAUUGCCUGUGAACAGAGUCAUGAUUGUUGUUAGAUAUUCAAUUAGAAAGCAUUAUCAAGAAAGCUGAUUUAUUACUGUUUACGAGGAAGGUGGCUAAGGAGAGAUUGCAUGCGAUAUCAAGCUCUGAAGCAUUGUUGGUCCACGGUGGGAUGGGAAAACGGAGGACUCACCGCUAGAGGAAAGGACAGGGAAUUA